rnacentral:rRNA from 1 species
GACGAACGCUGGCGGCAGGCUUAACACAUGCAAGUCGAGCGAGCGGCGGACGGGUGAGUAAUGUCUGGGAAACUGCCUGAUGGAGGGGGAUAACUACUGGAAACGGUAGCUAAUACCGCAUCCCAUCAGAUGUGCACAGAUGGGAUUAGCUAGUAGGUGGGUUAAUGGCUCACCUAGGCGACGAUCCCUAGCUGGUCUGAGAGGAUGACCAGCCACACUGGAACUGAGACACGUGCCAGACUCCUACGGGAGGCAGCAGUGGGGAAUAUUGCACAAUGGGCGCAAGCCUGAUGCAGCCAUGCCGCGUGUGUGAAGAAGGCCUUCGGGUUGUAAAGCACUUUCAGCGAGGAGGCGUUACUCGCAGAAGAAGCACCGGCUAACUCCGUGCCAGCAGCCGCGGUAAUUC